UCCGGUUGAUCCCGCCGGAGGUCACUGCUACUGGGGUCCGGCUAAGCCAUGCAAGCGGAGGGCGCGGUCGAAAGAUCGUGGCCCCGCACACGGCUCAGCAACACGUAGUCAACCUACCCUUGGGACGGGCACAACCUCGGGAAACUGAGGCUAAUUCCCGAUAGGCGAGGGACGCUGGGAUGCCCCCUCGCUCAAAGCUCCGGCGCCCAAGGAUGGGACUGCGGCCUAUCAGGCUGUUGGUGGUGUGACGGACCACCAAACCUACGACGGGUACGGGCGAUGGGAGUCGGAGCCCGGAGAUGGGGACUGAGACAAGGCCCCAGGCCCUACGGGGCGCAGCAGGCGCGAAAACUCCGCAAUGCGCGCAAGCGUGACGGGGGGACCCCAAGUGCCGUUGGUCAUCGACGGUUUUUCGGAAGUUUAGGGAGCUUCCGGAAUAAGGGCUGGGUAAGACUGGUGCCAGCCGCCGCGGUAAUACCAGCAGCCCGAGUGGUGGCCACGAUUAUUGGGCCUAAAGCGCUCGUAGCCGGAUCAGCAAGUCCCUUGUGAAAUCGGGCCGCCCAACGGUUCGGCGUGCAAGGGAUACUGUUGACCUUGAGGCCGGGAGAGGUCGGAGGUACUCCUGGGGUAGCGGUGAAAUGCUCUAAUCCUAGGGGGACCACCAGUGGCGAAGGCGUCCGGCCAGAACGGACCUGACGGUGAGGGGCGAAGGCUAGGGGAGCGAACGGGAUUAGAUACCCCGGUAGUCCUAGCUGUAAAGCAUGCGGGCCAGGUGUCUAGUGCUCCUCGAGGGCACUAGGUGCCGGAGGGAAGCCGUUAAGCCCGCCGCCUGGGAAGUACGGUCGCAAGGCUGAAACUUAAAGAAAUUGGCGGGGGAGCACACAAGGGGUGGAACCUGCGGUUCAAAUGGAUUCA
rnacentral:rRNA from 1 species